rnacentral:rRNA from 1 species
UAGGGAAUCUUCCGCAAUGGGCGAAAGCCUGACGGAGCAACGCCGCGUGAGUGAUGAAGGUCUUCGGAUCGUAAAACUCUGUUAUUAGGGAAGAACAAAUGUGUAAGUAACUAUGCACGUCUUGACGGUACCUAAUCAGAAAGCCACGGCUAACUACGUGCCAGCAGCCGCGGUAAUACGUAGGUGGCAAGCGUUAUCCGGAAUUAUUGGGCGUAAAGCGCGCGUAGGCGGUUUUUUAAGUCUGAUGUGAAAGCCCCCGGCUCAACCGGGGAGGGUCAUUGGAAACUGGUUGACUUGAGUGCAGAAGAGGAGAGUGGAAUUCCAUGUGUAGCGGUGAAAUGCGUAGAUAUAUGGAGGAACACCGGUGGCGAAAGCGGCUCUCUGGUCUGUAACUGACGCUGAGGCUCGAAAGCGUGGGGAGCGAACAGG